UACGUAGGGUGCGAGCGUUAAUCGGAAUUACUGGGCGUAAAGCGUGCGCAGGCGGCUGUGCAAGACAGAUGUGAAAUCCCCCGGGCUCAACCUGGGAAUUGCAUUUGUGACUGCACGGCUAGAGUGUGUCAGAGGGGGGGUAGAAUUCCACGUGUAGCAGUGAAAUGCGUAGAGAUGUGGAGGAAUACCGAUGGCGAAGGCAGCCCCCUGGGAUAACACUGACGCUCAUGCACGAAAGCGUGGGGAGCAAACAGG
rnacentral:rRNA from 1 species